GUCUUUAAGAUAUUAAUUUAAAGUCUAAUCUGCCCACUGAAUAAUUUUUAAAUGGCUGCAGAAUUUUUACUGUACUAAGGUAGCAUAAUAAUUUGUUUUUUAAUUAAAAACUUGAAUGAAAGAUUAAAUGAAAUAUAAACUGUUUCAAUUAAAUACAUAUAUUAAAUUUUUUAUUUAAGUAAAAAAACUUAAAUAAAAUUUAAAGACGACAAGACCCUAUAGAAUUUUAUUUAUAAUUUUUUAUUUAAAUCAUUAUAAAUUUUAUUGGGGUAAUAAAAAAAUUAAACUAAUUUUUUUUUUAAAAAACAUAAAUUUAUGAAUUAAAAAUCUUAAUUUUUAAAUUAAAAAAAUUAAUUACCUUAGGGAUAACAGCAUAAUUUUUUUUAAAAGAUCUUAUUAAUAAAAAAGAUUAU
rnacentral:rRNA from 1 species